CAUUAAGAAGCUUCUACAGCACUAGCCUUUUAAGCUAGAGAGGGGGAUUAAAAUUUUCCCCCUUAAUGAA
rnacentral:tRNA from 1 species